CCUAGUACGAGAGGACCGGAGUGGACGCAUCACUGGUGUUCGGGUUGUCAUGCCAAUGGCACUGCCCGGUAGCUAAAAUGCGGAAGAGAUAAGUGCUGAAAGCAUCUAAGCACGAAAACUUGCCCCGAGAUGAGUUCUCCCUGAGACUUAGAGUCUCCUGAAGGAACGUUGAAGACGACGACGUUGAUAGGCCGGGUGUGUAAGCGCAGCGAUGCGUUGAGCUAACCGGUACUAAUGAACCGUGAGGCUUAACCUUAC
rnacentral:rRNA from 1 species